rnacentral:rRNA from 1 species
UACGUAGGGUGCAAGCGUUAAUCGGAAUUACUGGGCGUAAAGCGUGCGCAGGCGGUUAUGUAAGUCAGGUGUGAAAUCCCCGGGCUCAACCUGGGAACUGCAUUUGUGACUGCAUAGCUAGAGUACGGUAGAGGGGGAUGGAAUUCCGCGUGUAGCAGUGAAAUGCGUAGAUAUGCGGAGGAACACCGAUGGCGAAGGCAAUCCCCUGGACCUGUACUGACGCUCAUGCACGAAAGCGUGGGGAGCAAACAGG